UGUCAUCGCCGUUUCACGGCGGUUCCUCCCUUAACUUGGCGCCCGUCGCGAAUGGCGGGCUUUUUUCGAAGCUCC
rnacentral:sRNA from 1 species